UAAUGAAAUUUAAGUAAAAUUACUCAAAAUGUCCAAGACAUGCUGUUACGCAUGCGCACUGGGCGACAAUUGCCCCUCCCCCACGUCGCAGAAGCACAACGGCUGAAGACUCAACGUGUGUUUGCAGAGGAUCUAUUUCGGUAAAAUCAAGAAUACCAGCUGAUGACUGCUGUGCAGUGGAAAUAUCGAUCAUCUUGAUAAAACCUCAGUAUAUCAUCAGGAGCAACAGGCCACAUUUUCAGCUAAAAAUCUUCUUUGCUGUUCUGCUGAAGAAAAAUACUCAUGAACAUCUUGGGUGGCGUAAGGAUCUUUGCAGGAUUCAGUCGCAUAUCUCGGAUCUGAGUUCUGCGCAGCACUGGACACAGACUCUGCACUUUUGACAUUUUCUAGAAAAAGGAUUUUAAAUUUCACAUCAAGUUAAUUAAAAGUCAUCUGAUGUUUCCACUGCAGUACUUCAGGGCCUUUCAGUCAUCCUGGAGGAUGACCCACAGGAAUUUUACAGGAUGUGUUUCGAUGUGGAUGCAGACUUCAGUGAAGCAGUUGUAGACCUGCUCACAGUUCUACCAGAGGACAUAACCUCAUUGUGGAUGCAAUAAAGGCAAUCAUGGAGGGAAGAAUUGUCAUGGAUGGGUUUUAAAGGCCUGUAUUUUAUUUUUGCUGUUCUGUUUGCAUGCCAUUCUGAAAAUGCUCUAUUGUUUAACAGUGUUCCAGUGGGUCACGAUAAUGUUAUGACAACAAAGUGCUGUUUAGUUAAGAAGUCUGUAAAGAGUAUUAUAAGAACACAGAUGUUUUAAAAGCUAAUUUUUAUUAUUGUGAUAUUCUUAAAGUUUUUUACAAAAAUAAACUGUUGAGAAU